UACGUAGGGUGCAAGCGUUAAUCGGAAUUACUGGGCGUAAAGCGUGCGCAGGCGGUUGUGCAAGACAGAUGUGAAAUCCCCGGGCUCAACCUGGGAAUUGCAUUUGUGACUGCACGGCUAGAGUGUGUCAGAGGGGGGUAGAAUUCCACGUGUAGCAGUGAAAUGCGUAGAGAUGUGGAGGAAUACCGAUGGCGAAGGCCAGCCCCCUGGGAUAACACUGACGCUCAUGCACGAAAGCGUAGGGGAGCAAACAGG
rnacentral:rRNA from 1 species